rnacentral:ncRNA from 1 species
AUCGAGCGAGGCAAAGUUAGUAACGCUUCGUAAGAGGGAACCCGGUGAGAAUCCGGGACUGUCCCGCAACGGUAUGCAGGAACGACCGCCGUCAGAGUUUUUGGCAAGCACUGGUCAGCACGACUGGGAAGCGACGGCCACUAGGAGCACCACCCCGUGCGUGCCUGCGAGUCCGGAGACCUGCCGGCUGUGCCGGGCGCAC